AUUGAACGCUGGCGGCAGGCCUAACACAUGCAAGUCGAACGCGUGGCGGACGGGUGAGUAAUGUCUGGGAAACUGCCCGAUGGAGGGGGAUAACUACUGGAAACGGUAGCUAAUACCGCGUAACAUCGGAUGUGCUCAGAUGGGAUUAGCUGGUGGGUGAGGGAACGGCUAACCUAGGCAACGAGCCCUAGCGGGUCUGAGAGGUUGACCAGCCACACUGGAACUGAGACACGGUCCAGAAUCCUACGGGAGGCAGCAGUGGGGAAUAUUGCACAAUGGGCGCAAGCCUGAUGCAGCCAUGCCGCGUGUAUGAAGAAGGCCUUCGGGUUGUAAAGUACUUUCAGCGGGGAGGCGUUACCCGCAGAAGAAGCACCGGCUAACUCCGUGCCAGCCGCCGCGGUAAUAC
rnacentral:rRNA from 1 species